GCCCUUGCCCAUUUGAGGGGGAUACCAGUUGGAAACGACUGUUAAUACCGCAUAAUAUCUGUGGAUUAAAGGUGGCUUCCGGGCUGUCGCAGAUGGAUGAGCCUGCGUUGGAUUAGCUAGUUGGUGGGGUAAGGGCCCACCAAGGCUACGAUCCAUAGCUGAUUUGAGAGGAUGAUCAGCCACAUUGGGACUGAGACACGGCCCAAACUCCUACGGGAGGCAGCAGUGGGGAAUAUUGGACAAUGGGGGCAACCCUGAUCCAGCAAUGCCAUGUGUGUGAAGAAGGCCCUAGGGUUGUAAAGCACUUUAGUUGGGGAGGAAAGCCUCAAGGUUAAUAGCCUUGGGGAGGACGUUACCCAAAGAAUAAGCACCGGCUAACUCCGUGCCAGCAGCCGCGGUAAUACGGGGGGUGCAAGCGUUAAUCGGAAUUACUGGGCGUAAAGGGUCUGUAGGUGGUUUGUUAAGUCAGAUGUGAAAGCCCAGGGCUCAACCUUGGAACUGCAUUUGAUACUGGCAAACUAGAGUACGGUAGAGGAAUGGGGAAUUUCUGGUGUAGCGGUGAAAUGCGUAGAGAUCAGAAGGAACACCAAUGGCGAAGGCAACAUUCUGGACCGAUACUGACACUGAGGGACGAAAGCGUGGGGAUCAAACAGGAUUAGAUACCCUGGUAGUCCACGCUGUAAACGAUGAGUACUAGCUGUUGGAGUCGGUGUAAAGGCUCUAGUGGCGCAGCUAACGCGAUAAGUACUCCGCCUGGGGACUACGGCCGCAAGGCUAAAACUCAAAGGAAUUGACGGGGACCCGCACAGGCGGUGGAGCAUGUGGUUUAAUUCGAUGCAACGCGAAGAACCUUACCUGGUCUUGACACCCUGCGAACUUUCUAGAGAUAGAUUGGUGCCUUCGGGAACGCAGUGACAGGUGCUGCACGGCUGUCGUCAGCUCGUGUUGUGAAAUGUUGGGUUAAGUCCCGCAACGAGCGCAACCCCUAUUGAUAGUUACCAUCAUUAAGUUGGGUACUCUAUUGAGACUGCCGCUGACAAGGCGGAGGAAGGUGGGGACGACGUCAAGUCAUCAUGGCCCUUACGACCAGGGCUACACACGUGCUACAAUGGGUAUUACAGAGGGCUGCGAAGGUGCGAGCUGGAGCGAAAC
rnacentral:rRNA from 1 species